rnacentral:rRNA from 1 species
GACGAACGCUGGCGGCGUGCUUAACACAUGCAAGUCGAACGGAGUGGCGAACGGGUGAGUAACGCGUAAUCAACCUGCCCUUCAGAGGGGGACAACAGUUGGAAACGACUGCUAAUACCGCAUACUGAAGGAGGGGAUUGCGUCGGAUUAGCUAGGUGGAGGGGUAACGGCCCACCCAGGCGAUGAUCAGUAGCCGGGCUGAGAGGAUGAACGGCCACAUUGGGACUGAGACACGGCCCAGACUCCUACGGGAGGCAGCAGUGGGGAAUCUUCCGAAAUGGACGAAAGUCUGACGGAGCAACGCCGCGUGAGUGAUGACGGGCUUCGGGUUGUAAAGCUCUGUUAAUCGGGACGCGGUACCGGAAUAGAAAGCCACGGCUAACUACGUGCCAGCCGCCGCGGUAAUUC